rfam:Human gut metagenome DNA, contig sequence: In-R_000233.
UCCAUCGUGAGGUGGAAUCUGAAGGAAGGUGGAGGCAAAUCUCUGGUCUGACGAACAGAAAUCACAUCAGGCUACAGUUAAGGAUAAGAUUGCAAUUCAAAUCGAAGUCCAAUAACUACUCGGGAUUAACUGUGGUAAAUGUGGCAGAUAGAUGGAGAGAAAGAAACGUGU